rnacentral:lncRNA from 1 species
CUUUAUUUAUACCAUUUAAACAUUAAGAUCUACAGUAUACUCCAUCAAGAUGGGGGGACUUCAACUAUCCGGAUAUAUGUUGGGAAAAUAACACAGCGGGGCACAGACUAUCAAACAAAUUCUUGGAAUGCAUUGCAGACAACUUUUUAUUUCAGAAGGUUGAAAAAGCUACUAGGGGGGAAGAUGUUCUAGACUUGAUUUUAACAAAUAGGGAGGAACUCGUUGAGAAUUUGAAAGUAGAAGGCAGCUUGGGUGAAAGUGAUCAUGAAAUCAUAGAGUUUGAAAUUCUAAGGAAGGGUAGAAGGGAGAACAGCAAAAUAGAGACAAUGGAUUUCAGGAAGGCAGAUUUUGGUAAGUCAGAGAGCUGAUAGGUAAGGUCCCAUGGGAAUCAAGACUGAGGGGAAAAACAACUGAGGAGAGUUGGCAGUUUUUCAAAGGGACACUAUUAAGGGCCCAAAAGCAAGCUAUUCCGCUGGUUAGGAAAGAUAGAAAAUGUGGCAAAAGACCACCUUGGCUUAACCACGAGAUCUUGCAUGAUCUAAAAAAUAAAAAGGAGUCAUAUAAAAAAUGGAAACUAGGACAUAUUACAAAGGAUGAAUAUAGGCAAACAACACAGGAAUGCAGGGGCAGGAUUAGAAAGGCAAAGGCACAAAAUGAGCUCAAACUAGCUACAAGAAUAAAGGGAAACAAGAAGACUUUUUAUCAAUACAAUAGAAGCAAGAGGAAGACCAAAGACCGGGUAGGCCCACUGCUUAGUGAAGAGGGAGAAACAGUAACAGGAAACUUGGAAAUGGCAGAGAUGCUUAAUGACUUCUUUGUUUUGGUCUUCACCGAGAAGUCUGAAGGAAUUCCUAACAUAGUGAAUGCUAAUGGGAAGGGGGUAGGUUUAGCAGAUAAAAUAAAAAAAGAACAAGUUAAAAAUCACUUAGAAAAGUUAGAUGCCUGCAAGUCAGGGCCUGAUGAAAUGCAUCCUAGAAUACCCAAGGAGCUAAUAGAGGAGGUAUCUGAGCCUCUAGCUAUUAUCUUUGGAAAAUCAUGGGAGACGGGAGAGAUUCCUGAAGACUGGAAAAAGGCAAAU